GUUUUAAUAAUUUAAUAUAAAAUAUUGGUCUUGUAAAUCAAAUAUAAGGAAACUUUUAAAACU
rnacentral:tRNA from 1 species